GGGGAAUAUUGGGCAAUGGACGCAAGUCUGACCCAGCAACGCCGCGUGAAGGAAGAAGGCUUUCGGGUUGUAAACUUCUUUUAAGGGGGAAGAGUAGAAGACGGUACCCCUUGAAUAAGCCACGGCUAACUACGUGCCAGCAGCCGCGGUAAUACGUAGGUGGCAAGCGUUGUCCGGAUUUACUGGGUGUAAAGGGCGUGUAGCCGGGAAGGCAAGUCAGAUGUGAAAUCUGGAGGCUCAACCUCCAAACUGCAUUUGAAACUGCUUUUCUUGAGUGUCGGAGAGGUUGGUGGAACUCCGAGUGUAGAGGUGAAAUUCGUAGAUAUUCGGAAGAACACCAGUGGCGAAGGCGGCCAACUGGCUCGAUACUGACGCUGAGGUGCGAAAGCGUGGGGAGCAAACA
rnacentral:rRNA from 1 species